rnacentral:lncRNA from 10 species
CUCCACCCAGGACAGCAGAAACUACUCGGGGAGGCUGUACUGGGCCCCUUCUUCCAGCUGAGAUGGAUAACCUGAAGCACAGAGACAUCAAACAGGCCACACAGCUAGAAGUGCCAGGACCAGAGCCCAAGUUUAUCCAGCUCCAAGGCACAUGGUCUUUCUCCCAUACCCACUUACCUCCCUGCCUCCUAGUCUGAAGCGGAAACACUCAACAAAGAAAGCUCCCUCACCACCUAAUUGAUGUGGCAUUGGAAACAGCCUUGUUCUUCCUCACUUAGAAUAGACUCCCUUUGCUCCAUUCCAGAGAGGGGAGAAGAAGCAAUGAACUGCCUGGGGGAGGCAGUUCUGCAGAAAGAAUCUGAAGGCCACUGUGGAAGGAAUUGGCCACGGAAGCUGCAUGAUGACAACAGUGCUGGGCUUGUCCUGACCUGGCCUCACUCCGGCCAAUUUUUCCUAAUCAACAUGGCCCUGGGGAGGGAGCAGCCUGCCUGGAAUAGGAAUGAAGAAAGACAGAUUAGGGGUCACUCUCCUGGCUUUAACUUGCAUGGGCUUGCUGGGUUCCUUUAGAUCCCUGCAUGAACCAUUCAAUGCAAACCAUACAUGUCUGUUAGGACUCUUGGUUGCAAGUGACAGAAAACCUUCCUCAGCUUCAGAAAGCGGGGAGGGUUUAUUGAUUCUCAUAAUGGAAUAGUUCAGGGGUAGGUCUGGCUUCGGGUAAAGUUUGAUACAGGGCCCAAAUGACAUCACCAGAAUCCAUCUCUCAGCUCAGUUGCUUGUGUUUAUCUCUAUUCUUCAGCUCUGUGGCUGGCAGAAAUAGCUGUGCCACACUAAGAUACAUACUCGCCUACUCCAGUGGAAAAGAGGGAAUUUCCCUUCCCAGAAGCCCCAGCAUUUCACUGGCUGUGAUUGGUUUAUAUGCUCUGGAGCUCUCACUAUGACUGGAGGUCAUGAAGAUUGAAUAAACUUGGAGGACAUGAAGAUUGAAUAAACCCAGAACCCAUCCCUGGGGCUCUGGGUGGUAUAAUCCCACCAGAUCACCUAGGGAAUGGAGAAGGA